UGGGGAAUUUUGGACAAUGGACGCAAGUCUGAUCCAGCCAUUCCGCGUGCAGGACGAAGGCCUUCGGGUUGUAAACUGCUUUUGUACGGAACGAAAAAGCCUUGGUUAAUACCCAGGGUCCAUGACGGUACCGUAAGAAUAAGCACCGGCUAACUACGUG
rnacentral:rRNA from 1 species